AACGAACGCUGGCGGCGUGGAUAAGACAUGCAAGUCGAACGGGAUUUUUUUCUGUAGCAAUACAGAGAAAAGUCUAGUGGCGAACGGGUGCGUAACACGUGAGCAACCUGCCGUGAAGUGGGGGAUAGCUCGCCGAAAGGCGAAUUAAUACCGCAUGUGGCCAAGGAAGACAUCUUCCUGACGCCAAGCCGGGGCAACCUGGCGCUUCUCGAGGGGCUCGCGGCCUAUCAGCUUGUUGGUGAGGUAACGGCUCACCAAGGCUAUGACGGGUAGCUGGUCUGAGAGGACGACCAGCCACACUGGAACUGCGACACGGUCCAGACACCUACGGGUGGCAGCAGUCGAGGAUUUUUCACAAUGGGGGAAACCCUGAUGGAGCGACGCCGCGUGGAGGAUGAAGGUUUUCGGAUUGUAAACUCCUGUCAUUAGAGAACAAGGCACACGGUUUAACUGGCCGUGUGUUGAUAGUAUCUGAAGAGGAAGAGACGGCUAACUCUGUGCCAGCCGCCGCCGUAA
rnacentral:rRNA from 1 species